GGCCGUGUGGCUCAGUGGUCAGAGCCUCGGCCUGCGGACCGAUGGGUCUCGGGUUCAAUUCCCGGUCAAGGGCA
rnacentral:tRNA from 1 species